UCCAUAAAAGGAUCCCCUUGAAAGCUGUUCGAGAAGUAAUGCAUUUAUAACAAUAAUAAACGUUUCUCCACCACUUUGCCCCAGGCUUCUGACCUUGUGGUUCUUUUUCCUAAUUACUCUCCUCUUUUUCAUGCACUAAAAUAAAACUAUAUAAAAGACUCAACAGAAACAUUAAAAACUGGUAUAAGGGAAAUUUCACGGUAGCGAACAUUAUGAAGCUUGGGUGAGGAGAAAAAAGUUCAGACCUGGCUUCUUGCAUUUUCUGGAUAAGAUUUUCACAGAAUACUUAGCUUUAGUAGUAAUAUUUAGUUCCCUAUUUUUUCUACUCACUGGGAUAAGCUGGUAUAUGGGAACGGAACUUGUGGUAAAGAUAACCUUGCCACAAAAGGACUCCACCCCUGCUUACCUUCCGCUGGAUCUAGUUGUAAAUAUGUCGUGAAUGGUAAAUGUGGGGCUUCCUGUGUUCUGCACUGUGUAUUGCCACACCACUAUCUCUAGUAGAACGAACAGGAAUACAAAAUUUACACCUCUUUUGAAAUGUGAUGAAGCAACAUAGAAUUCAGAAAUAGGAUGACCACAUUUUCUGUACUAUAUUGCACUCUUUUGCACAAUAUGUAAGAACACAACAUGAGAAACUGACAAAAGAAGGAAAUAGAACAAUUGAGGUUGUUGGGUGGGAAGGCUGCAAGGUAAAGGGCAGAAUAUGAAAUACCCCACCUAGCCAACAUCUUCUCGUGGCUGUUAUUCCUAUCUUCAAGGCUGUAUAACUCUCCCCUCUUCCAUUAUUCUUUCCCACCAUCCAUCCAUCCAUCCAUCCAUCCAUCCAUCCAUCCAACAUUUAUUGGGCACCUUGUCAUUCCAGCUGCUGGGAAUGCAGACUGCCAGAGUUACCAAAAAAACGAAAGAAAGAAUGAAACAAAGAAUAAAAGAAAGAAAGAAAGAAGAGAGAAGAAAAAACCCAAAUCUGCAAUUUUUUUCGUUUUUUAACGGAAGCAGCAGCACACCGUUAGAAACAGCCUAUGUCUGCACCAAGGGUUUCACUAUAGAGAAGGAGCGGAGGCUAUGAAACCAUGCUUCCCACCUGAGGAUCUCUUUGCUUUAAAUGUGAUGCUCAAGAUCUCAACCUGGGACCCCGGAAGCAUCAAUCAGCACAGAAAACCAGAUGGACAGAUUGCCAUCAAGCUCUCUGCAGGACCUGAGUUAAUGCAUCUUGCAAAGCUCUUUAUAUAACGACAACAAUAAUAAGAUAAUUAAGGUAUACAUGUAA